rnacentral:rRNA from 1 species
AUUGAACGCUGGCGGCAUGCCUUACACAUGCAAGUCGAACGGUAACGGGCCUUCGGGUGCCGACGAGUGGCGAACGGGGGAGUAAUACAUUGGAACGUGCCCGAUCGUGGGGGAUAACGAGGCGAAAGCUUUGCUAAUACCGCAUACGAUCUACGGAUGAAAGCGGGGGACCGCAAGGCCUUGCGCGGACGGAGCGGCCGAUGGCAGAUUAGGUAGGUGGUGGGAUAAAAGCUUACCAAGCCGACGAUCGGUAGCUGGUCUGAGAGGAUGAUCAGCCACACUGGGACUGAGACACAGCACAGACUCCUACGGGAGGCAGCAGUGGGGAAUUUUGGGCGAUGGGCGCAAGCCUGAUCCAGCCAUGCCGCGUGCAGGCUGAAGGCCUUCGGGUUGUAAACUGCUUUUGUACGGAACGAAAAGCCUUCUUUUAAUACAGGAGGAUCAUGACGGUACCGGAAGAAUAAGCACCGGCUAACUACGUG